GUCGCUCACGAGGUCGCGCCUCGCACCCGCCUUCCUCCUUUUCUUUUACCCUCCCCUUCAGAAAAAACGGCGGUUGGGCUGCGACGGCCGCCAAAGGCGGACUAGAAGCGGAGGGGUGAAAAUCCCGGCAGAGAAGGAAGAAGGGACUGCAGGCGGGAGGAGGAGGAGGAUAAGGAGGAAGGGAGCCCGCCCAGCCGGAGCCAUCUCCGUCGAGAACAAAAUGGCGGCGCUGGCGGAGGGCCAACUAUAAGGCGGGGCCGCGGCCAUUCCCCCUCCACCCCCACCCUUGCGCCGGCCGGGCCGGUCAGGGGGAACCCGCUCGCUUCGCCCGGCCGCGGGCGGGGAGGGGAGGGGAGCGGCCCGGCCCACUAUGCAAAGCGCCGGGCGCCGCCGCCGCCACCCCGUGGCAAAGAAUAUGCUUUUUGUCUAAUGAUGUUAGAUAAAAAGCAAAUUUGGAGCAGUUUUCUUAUUCGAGUUCAAAAUGGUUCAUAAAGCAGCGAAGACAACUCAAAACAUCAGUAACACAUUUGGCCCAGGAACUGCUAACAAACAUACAGUGCAGUGGUGGCUUAAGAAGUUUUGCAAGGAAGAGAGCCUUGAAGAUGAGGAACGUGAUAUGGGCCAUGGGAAGUUGACAACGACCAAUUGAGAGCAAUCAUUGAACUACAUGAAAAAUUACAGAAGAACUCAGCGUUGACUAUUCUACGGUCAUUAGGGUCGUUCAGCAUUCGAAGCAAAUUGGAAAGGUGAAAAAGCUUGAUAAGUGGGUGCCUCAUGAGCUGAGCGGAAAUCAAAACUAUCGUUUUGAAGUGUAGUCUUCUUUUAUGCUACGCAACAACAAACCAUUUCUCAAUCGGAUUGUGACAUGUAAUGAAAAGUGAAUUUUAUACAACAACCAGCUCAGUGGUUGGACCAAGAGGCAGCUCCAAAGCAGUUCCCAAAGCCAAACUUGCACCAAAAAAAAGGUCAUGGUCACUGUUCGGUGGUCUGCUGCCCAUCUGAUCCACUACAGUUUUCUGAAUCCUGGUGAAACCAUUACAUCUGAGAAGUAUGCUCAGCAAAUUGGUAAGAUGCACCGAAAACUGCAAUACCUGCUGCCUGCAUUGGUCAACAGAAAGGGCCCAAUUCUUCUCCACGACAACACCUGACUGCGUGUCGCACAACCAGUGCUUCAAAAGUUGAAGGAAUUGGGCUACAAAGUUUUGCCUCAUCCACCAUAUUCACCUGACCUUUCGCCAACUGACUACCACUUCUGCUAGCAUCUUGACAACUUUUUGCAGGGAAAACACUUCAGCAUGGUGCAGAAAAUGCUUUCCAAGAGUUCGUCAAAUCCUGAAGCACGGAUUUUUAUGCUACAGGAAUAAACAAACAUUUCUCAUUGGCAAAAAUGUGUUGAUUGUAAUGGUUCCUGUUUUGAUUAAUAGAAUAUGUUUUAGCGUAGUUACAAUGAUUUAAAAUUCGCAGUCUGGAAAUUUAAUUUUUGCAUCAACCUAAUAUUUCUAUGGUAAAUCCUUGCAAACAUGGAAACAAUGCAUUUGGCCCAGUGCUUUGUGGUUGUGUACUCUUUUUCUUUGUUUUUUUAAUAGAUGGCAUUGGCCGGGCAUGGUGGCUCAUGCCUGUAAUCCCAGCAUUUUGGGAAGGUGAGGUGGGUGGAUCACCUGAGGUCAGGAGUUCAAGACCAGCCUGACUAACAUGGUAAAACCCCAUCUCUACUAAAAAUACAAAAAAAUUAGCUAGGCGGGGUGGCGGGCAUCUAAUUCCAGCUACUUCAUGAGGCUGCGACAGGAGAAUCAUUUGAACUCGGGAGGCAGAGGUUGCAGUGAGCCGAGAUCACACCAUUGCACUCCAGCCUGGGCGAUGAGCGAAACUGUCUCAAAAAAAAAAAAAGUUGGGGUCUCGCUGUGUUGACCAGGCUGGUCUCGAACUCCUGGCCUCAAGUGAUCCUCCCAUCUUGGCCUCCCAAAGUGUUAGGAUUACAGGCGUGAGCCACCACACCCUGCCUGGUUGUGUACUCUUUUAAAUACUAAGUUUUUAAUGUUAAAUGCUGCUUUUAGAUACACUGUAAAAAUACACCUAUCAAUGAGUUUUUUUAUUAAAAACAUUGCAAUUGUACUAGACUUUAAAUACUAAGCAAUA
rnacentral:lncRNA from 1 species